rnacentral:rRNA from 1 species
UACAGAGGUCCCAAGCGUUGUUCGGAUUCACUGGGCGUAAAGGGUGCGUAGGUGGUGAGGUAAGUCGGAUGUGAAAGCUCGGAGCUCAACUCCGAAAUGGCAUUGGAAACUACCUUGCUCGAGGGUUGGAGGGGGACUGGAAUGCUUGGUGUAGCAGUGAAAAUGCGUAGAUAUGCGGAGGAACACCCGAUGGCGAAGGCAGCCCUCCUGGGAUAACACUGACGCUCAUGCACGAAAGCGUGGGG